GGCCCAGUACACCUGCAUCUCCUCACGCGUGAUGGUGGUGCUCCGCCUCUUCUACCUCGACUCCGACGUUGAUGGUACUCCGCCUAGGGUUUCUGCACCGUGUUACUCCGUCGAGUAUGAGUGGAGAACACCGUGAUGCGAGUGAUUUCUCUCAAUAAUUUUCUUAGUCAGGUAUUUGAAUUGUUGCUUACAUAUCUGGUGUUCGUAUCUCGUUCUGGUGUUUAUUGAUUAGAUGUGAUUACCCUGUGUUGACGGUCAACCUGUACUAGUUCUGGAUAAGUAGUAUGUGCAUACCCUGUUAUGCGUUACUGUCAGAUUUUCCUAUUCCUAUAUAGAUGGAUCGAUGGAAUUGUUUUUUUCACAUGAAAUUGAUCAUUAUAUACUAGCAUGUAGCAUGACCUGUUCAAUAAGAUCAACACGGUUUUUUCUUAUGAAAAGAGAUCAACUUAGUUCAAAUCACAGUGAGAUAGUAGUAUAUGAGCGAUAUAGCAUAUGACAUCAUGUAUGCCUCUGAAGGACAUUGCUACAAAAAUCAGCAUGUGAGUGCAAUUAUGGGUCAUGAUACUAUCAUAAUUAUUUCAAAUGGAUAAUCCCCUUCUCAGUAGUUUGAAUCAUUAUUUAUUUGGCGCCAUGUGUACAAUAUACUAAAAAACUAAGCCCACUUGCAUCCGUCUGUCCCAAUAUUUGUCUUUGUUCUGUAAUACUUCGUUCCAUCUACACUCGCAAGUUAUGAAACUAUUUUUUUUUUCUAUAGUUAACAUCCACAUGUGUGUGCUUAUGUUAUCUCUUAACAGAUCGAUCUACAACACAUACGCAUUGCAAUUAUGAGAAAGCCAUCAAUAUGCAGAUGAAGCCUUAAGAAUUAUUUAAGUCAUUGUAAUUAUAUAUAUCAUGGUGAGGGCCCUUCCGCUGGUAAGGAAAACUUAGAUUUUUUGCGUAUUAUAUAUUUUUUGAUUGAUGUAACAUUUGUUUUCCCCUGACAAAAAGUAAUGUUUGUUUCAUGUUCUUAUUCAGUAAAAAUGUGCACAACACAAUCUCAAAUUUUAUGCAAAAGCUCAGAUGGCAAUAGUUCUUACACUCAUGUUAUCCAAUAUAAACUGUUGAAUGAUUGAUACAAUUUGAAGGUGAGAUACAAGAACAUCAUAACAUUGAUAUUCUCGUCGUAUGUAUAUGACUACUAUAUAUUCUCGAAAUCUCACCUCUAAACUGAGUUUAGUGCAAUUUUUUAAUUUUUUGAAAUACAGGUACUUCUCAAUUUUUGUACUAAUUUUCUAUUUUGGGGAAAGCCACAUAUGUUUCCAACAAUAGAAUGAUGUGUGAUGGUCAUCACACAAACUCCUGGCCAGAUGCCUCUCACAUCUUAUCUUGUUUGUAAUAUAUUCUCCUUAAACUGUUUAACACAAUGAGCAUGUAGAUGUAGUUGGUUCAUCAACGUAAACAUCAAAAGUAUUCCUCUUAUGCAGUCUGCUUCCCUGACAUGCAGGGCACACUAAGGUGGUGGGAAGAUACAUACAACCGUUAACCUGACGGCUAAGCGAUCAGAUGCGGCGAUUGUGUGAGUGUGUCAGGUACAUCGAAUUCACUGAUCCCAAACUAUUGGAUGUUACUAGGAUCUCCUCUUCUCUGUAAUACUUAUGGCCUUCUCCUCUACCUAUUGGGGCAACAAUUUGGAUAUCCAGGAACCAUGGUGACAAAUACGUGCAUACUGGAACUGUUCCAAGUUUCCAUUUUCUCAGUAAACAAGUGAACUAAGAAAGUGAAUCCUAUUUAAUAAAUGUAGGCAUAUACUAAUACGGUGGCACAACUUAGUCUGCAUGAAUGUUCUGGUCUUCUAAAUUUUUAGUAUAAUGUUGAGUACUUUAGUUGGAGUCCAUGCUAGUUUAGCUAGCCAAGUUGAGUCUAAUUAGGCUAGGUUGAUUAGUUAGUUUUCCACCAUUGCAAGUCGUAAGCAUGUGUGCUCAUGGAUGGGUCAUAGUCUGUAGAUGAUUCAAUGAUUUUGCAUAGGUAGCAGCGUACGUGAUGUACUAGUAUGCCUUGGAGUUGGUGUGCCUUACUAGUCUAGGAAAAGGGCGCUCGAGUCCAAGUCGUUUUAGAUGCUAAGUCAGAGUAGGUUUAGGUUGUUCCGGCCAUGUAGCAGGUCAUAGUUGUGGAAGCAGGUCGUAUAAGAGUUUUUCCAUAGAAAACAAGGUCAUGUAAGAGCUUUCAGACAAGAAUAAAGAGUAUGCUAAAGUUUCCUUCAUGUGCUUGUGUUUGGCUAUUUUGAUGUGAUAUAUUCUGUGGACAAAACAGAACAUAGAUUACUAAUCCAUAUGCCAAAUCAGCAGGUUACAGAAACUUGAUUGUUCCAAGACAAUGUUGUUGGCACUAAAACCUAAAAGACUACUGGUGCCAAGCUGGAUUUGCUAGGAGGUAUUUUCUAAUAUUACUUCUAUAUUGCCUGAAUGAUUCUUCACCAAUUCAAAUGGAAAUUUUGGAUUAUUAAUAGCAUUACUUGAAUAUAUUUUUAUUAUCACACAUGCUUCUGUUCUUUUACCUAAUUUGUACAAGAGAACACUUUUCUUCCAUGUUACAAUGGUCAUACACUCAUACUGCGUCUCUGAGAUAAGACUCUUUGCCGCUAAAAAGGGCAACCUGGUGCAUGUAGCUCCCGCUUGCGCAGGGUCCAGGGAAGGGUCCGACCACUUUGGGUCUAUAGUACGCAGCCUUUCCCUACAUUUCUGUAAGAGGCUGUUUCCAGGACUUGAACCCAUGACCUCAUGGUCACAAGGCAGCAGCUUUACCACUGCGCCAAGGCUCCCCUUCACUCUUUGUCGCUAGAUUAGGUAAAAUAAUUCAUCAACUCCUGUAUGCCUUCCUUACAUUCCCUCACUUCCUAUAUAACACUCUGUUUCUAUAAACAUGGUGAAACUUGAUAAUGGAAUGAGCUGAGUUACUUUACUGUAAACUAAAAUGACUACGUUCGGCUACAAAAGUAAUACUUGACAAGUUCAAACAAGAGCGCUGCUCUUACUACAACCCAACGUAUCAACCAAGAAUAUAAAGGUAAAAUUGACGGUGUUAAACUUGGUAAUGAAUUCCUUAUAUUCCGAAUUGAUCUUACAUUAGCAAAAUCUGGUAAGUUUAUACAACUAAUAAAAAGUCAAAAUUACUGGCGAUAUAGCUAGAUUAAUUAUCACAUGGCCUUCAACCUUUCUAUGUUGCUCCUCUUUUUCAAUUUUACUGCCCUAUUAACCUAUCUCAUUUCUUUGUGUAGAUUGCAAGAUAAAUCGGUGAUGCAUGGUCAGAUGUUGAUUGCAAGGUCAAGAACAUGGGUGCUACUAGAUAGUUUCACAUUGUGUUUCAGAAUGUCAUUUUCAUUGUCGAUGUGUCAAUCAUUAUGAUUCAGGCAUUUUCAGUGUCAAUGUUUAGAUCAUUAUGUUUCAAAAUGGCUGAGACGUUGGUUGCAAGAUCAAGAAUAGGACCAGUACUAGUUUCACAUCUUGUAAUCUUUGUAUCCAGAUCCUUGUAAUGCAACCAAGUUGAUUUAAUAUAUGAGACAGUUCUGUUUGUUAUACUGCGUCCUCUAUGCAAUAUUGGCAUUGACCUAAUAAUUCUUGAUCGGAAUUGACCUAAUAAUUCUGGAUGGUC
rnacentral:lncRNA from 1 species